UUGGAGGGCAAGUCUGGUGCCAGCAGCCGCGGUAAUUCCAGCUCCAAUAGCGUAUAUUAAAGUUGUUGCAGUUAAAAAGCUCGUAGUUGAAUUUCGGGGUUCUACCGUUGGUCGGGCUUUGUCUGUACUGGUGUGUAGAAUUUCUACCUUCUGGGGAACCAUCAUGCUAUUAAUUUAGCGUGGUGGGAAACCAGGACCUUUACCUUGAAAAAAUUAGUGUGUUCAAAGCAGGCUUAUGUCUGAAUACAUUAGCGUGGAAUAAUAGAAUAGGACGGUGGUCCUGUUUUGUUGGUUUCUGAAUCACCGUAAUGAUUAAUAGGGAUAGUUGGGGGCAUUAGUAUUCAAUUGUCAGAGGUGAAAUUCUUGGAUUUAUUGAAGACUAACUUCUGCGAAAGCAUUUGCCAAGGAUGUUUUCAUUAACCAAGAACGAAAGUUAGGGGAUCGAAGACGAUCAGAUACCGUCGUAGUCUUAACCAUAAACUAUGCCGACUAGGGAUCGGACGAUGUUAAUUUUUCUUGACUCGUUCGGCGCCUUACGGGAAAC
rnacentral:rRNA from 1 species